AAACCCCAGUCAAGUAUUGCACAACUUGCUAACUACAAGUUGUGUGGUCAAUGCUCUGAAGAUCUCUGAAAAACUGAUUGCUGUUUGGUGGUAUUCACAAGUCUCUGCCUUUUGAAGACAGUUCUUAUUUUUCAAUAUAUCCUACACUACACUUCCAUACACUGGAAGGGAGCCCUCCAUCUAAAGUUUAUGGCAACAUUCGAGCAGUGGCAAGCAGAGCAGCUGAACGAUUCUGAAAUCUCUAGACUGUUGCCUUUAACUCAUCCUUGUUUUCACUGGGGCUGAAUGAAGCUCCGCAUUGACUCUAUGGGACCAGACAUUGUUUGUACUUUGCACGACGUUUCUAUAUUAGCCUGAAACAAAGUGGUAAAAUGGACAAUACUUUUAAAAGUAUAACAUUUCCCUAUAAUUUGUUAUUGACAACUUAACUCAUGAGCAUUGCAUGUGAUGCAGAGUAGUUUAAAUGUUGAGUGACCAGUGGAUAAUUCUAUCAACUGAAAUAAAAAAUACUCCUUUCUGAA